GCCAGUACUAAGGCACAGAUGUUGCAGAACUUUGACAAUAACCAGUCAUUCUUUCUGAACAAAAAACAAAUUUCUUUGCUUACGUGAUAAUAUUUUAGAGUCUGCGUGAAAGUCUUACAUUCAGAGAAACGCCACAGUUCUGGCACCAGGAAUGAAGGCGCCAUCUGGCCCCUCUUGGGCUCCUUGGCUUGAAUUCCUGGGGUCAUUGUUACACUCAGCAUUCUCUAGGCGAAGGAGAACAAUAAGAGGCAGGUAAAGCUGGAGCCCGUAACAGGAGGAAACGUGAGCAUUGAAAACCCGCCCUUUGGAUGAACUGACCACAGCUGGACAACACCAGUGCCAGGGGUUCCAAGCACUGCAGAGAUGAAGCACCUUCUUCCAGGAGUUCCUGGAGUUCUCAGAAGCCAGAGUGGACUUGUUCCUCCGUUUUAUUUGAUGAGGUUCUAAAUAUAGCUGGGCAAGGCUUCGGAUUUUAGUGGGAGAUGGCCAGAGGCGAAGCAACUGAUAAAAGUAGCUGAAUAGCUCUCCCUCUCUGAGCUAGGUGCAAGCUCCUGACGUAGGAAGCGAUCCCUCCUUGCCACAGAUAACCCACGUAGCCAGGUGCUGCCAAGCAGCUUCCACCUGGAGGAGGGCAGCUGCUCUGCGCAUGACCAGUAGCUGUGGAUGGCAUCGUCGAGGCAUCUGGAGGAAGCUGCAGCCCCACAAGGCCCCUGACCCCUCUGCCUUUCCCUCUGCUGGCUCCUCUUCCUCCCUCUUUCCCUGCUGUCCCCUGUAGAGAACUUUCUACCAGUCCACACACCAACCUAGGUGCAGCCCCCCUGCGUGACUCCCUCCCUGACUAUCAUAACCAUGGCCAGCAGUAUCUCCACAUCUCUGCCCAGAUCCCCCUGGGAAGGCUUAUCCCAGGCCCCAGGUUUGGGGCAAUGCCCAGUGGCAUCGGAUGGGGUCCCCCUUGAAAGGAAGCACAGAAAGACUGAGCCAUCAACGUAGUCCCCUCCAUCACCUGCCACUGUCCCCAAAAUCUCCCACACCGGAAGUGUUUAGAUUGUCUAAGGACAAUAUUGUCUAGGGUUUGAGGACCACCCCACAGCAAAAACACUAGAAAGCUAGUUCCAAAAUGCAAAUCCCAGGCCAAGCCCCUCACCUCCUGAGGCAGCAUCCCUGGGUAUAGAUCUCAGAAAUCUGCAGUUUUAAUACAAAGGCCCCCUAAACUUAAAGAAACAGCCUGAAUUCACAUGGGCACACCUUACCUGAGCAGGCAAUACAGUGACAAGGGUGGAAACAGAGGGGACGAGACCUGACACUGGGAAGGCCUGACAGAGGGAAGGAAGGAAAGCUCUCAGGCUAAGGGCGCUGGGAACCCCACUCUUCCCUCUAGGGAGUUGCCGUUCCCUGAGGGGCCUGAGGAGCCUCCUCCUGAAGCCCCAGCUAUUCAAAUUACACCUUUUCUUAUUAGGACAUCAGGAGGUGUUGCCCCUUAGCUUUCCAUUCUAACCUCCUCAAUGUAGGGGCCUUGCUGGUGUCGAGGACAGAGCGGAGGCCUCAAGGGUAUGUGCAGUCUAGGUGGCCUUGGUGGAGGGGCAGGAUUCUACAUUUGGGAGGGGACUUCUUGCUGAACUCCUUCCAGAUGGGUCAAAUGGGGUAGACUGAGGGAGUGGUGUGGGAGGUGGUAAAGAACCAAGUAGGGACUGGAUGGAUCCUGGGAGUUUACAGGGCUGCCUCGGAGAGGGAGGGUGCUGAGAGAGAGGAGACCAGGGUGGGCACCAACGCGAUCCCUGCAGGCUAUGAGUGUAGGAUCAGAGAGGGUUAAGGGCCAGAAGCCCCUGUGUGUUUAGGACUGUGGCACCAUGGGUGCAUCCCCUGAGAAGCGAAGCUCAGGCAGGAGCAGCAGUGGGCAAAGAGCCUGGUGGUGCAGGUGCAGGCCCUGUAGAGGAGGCAGUGACAACACCCAGCCCAGGCCGACUCUCUCUGCCUGUCCCCUGAGUCCCCUGGCACCUCUCCACAUCUGCUCAGCCCUCCCAGUUAACCUAGCACUGGUAGAUGGUUGAUAUGAUUUGGAUCUGUGUCCCCAAAUCUCAUGUUGAAUUCUAAUCCCCAGUGUUGGAGGUGGGGCCUGGUGGGAGGUGAUUGGAUCAUGGGGGUGAAUCCUUCAUGAAUGGCUUAGCUUUAUCCCCUUAAUGCUGUUCUUGUGGUAGUGAGGGAAUUCUUGCAAUAUCUGGUUGUUUAAAAGUGUGUAGCACUUCCCCCCCAACACUCUUUUGUUCCUGUUCCAACUGUGUGAAGUGCUCACUCCCCCUUUGCCUUCUGCUAUGACUGUUAAGUUUCCUGAGGCCUUCCCAGAAGCUGAGCAGGUGUCAGCAUCAUGCUUUCUGUAUAGCCUGAGGAACCAUAAGCCAAUUAAACCUCUUUUCUUUAAAAAUUACCCAGUCUGAGAUAUUUCUUUUCUUUUCUUUGAGACAGGGUCUGGCUCUGUCACCCAGGCUGGAGCGUAGCUGCACCUCUGCCUCCAGGGCUCAAGUGAUCCUCCCACCUCAGCCUCACAAGUCACUGGGACCACAGCACGUGCCACCACACCCAGCUAAUGUUUGCUUUCUUUGUAGAGACAGGGUUUCACCAUGUUGCACAGGCUGGUCUCAAACUCCUGAGCUCAUGCGAUUCUCCUGUCUUGGCCUCCCAAAGUGAUGGGAUUACAGGUUUGAGCCACUGCACUCAUCCUAGGUAUUUCUCUAUAGCAAUGCAAGAAAAACUAAUACGAAGGUGAAUCCAUCUGCAGAUCCAGACUCCACAGGAAGCCAGCAAGUGUGAUUGCGGGCUCUGCUGCAUUUCAGGGGCGGUUCUAUACUUGGCACGUGCAUGCUUUCCCCAGCCUAGCAUAUUAGCCUGCUGGGGCUACUAUAACAAAAUACCACAAACUGAGUGGCUUAAUACAACUGAAAUGCAUUCUCUCACACUUCUAGUGGCCAAAGUCCAAGAUCAAAGUUUUGGCAGGGUUGGCUCCUUCUGGACACUCAGAGGGAGAGUCUGUCCUGUGUCUCUCCCCUGGCUUCUCCUGGUUGCUGGCAACCCUUGGCAUUUUUUGCUUAUAAAUGCAUCCCUCUUAUCUCAGCCUGUACUGUCACGUGACCUUCUUCCCUGUGCAUCUGUCUCUUGUCCUCUUCUUCUAAGGACAGCAGUCAUAUUGGAUUAAGGGCCCAGCCACUCCAGCAUGACCUCCUCUUAACUUGAUGGCAUUCAAAGCCAUCAGGUUUGGAAACAAGGUCACAUUACCAGGGACCGGAGGCUAGGACUUGAAGAUACCCUUUGGGAGGAGACACCUGCAACGUUUGGAUUGGAGAAGACUCAGUGACCUUCUGGGAUGUCGUUUACCCUCCCUGGGCUGCAGCUUCCUUGUUUGUAGAGGAAGAGGUUAAAUUAAACAAUCUCUUCCAGGUCUCAUGGUCUUCGAAUCUGUUUUCUCCUCUGCUGUUUUCUCAGCUUCCUUCUCCCGAUGGAAAUAGGGGGCCAGUGUAUUUCCCCUGCCUCCCCUCCCUCUCAGCCCUGCUUUCAAGUCUUAGAGCUGGCAAGGGCUUUGUGCAAUACUCCAGGUCCUACCCUCAAUUUCUGGUGGAACAACAGAAUAAGCGGUCUCUGCAUGCACACAAAUCCCUUCAGCUCCGUCUGGGCCCAGCGGCAGCUGACCAACCAGCCCAUCACACACCUUUCUGCAGGCCCCUUCCCCGCCCGGCCUCUUUCUCUACUCUUUUUGUUUAUUUUUAUUCCCCAGUCUCUCAUCUCUCACCUAUACAGUCAAGUUUCCAGCCUCUCUUUCCACCCACUGUUCAGCCAUCAGUCAGCCUAAACAUUCUACUUUCUGCCUUUCUCCCCACAAGCAACUUUGUUUGCAGAGAACCCACAGAGUUUGACAUGUUGUCUGCAGACUCUCUGUCCACAGGCUGCAGGUGUAGUGGAGCCCGCUCCAGACUGAGACAGAGGCCCAGGUUUUUACCAGGCUGUGCUGCUGCCAGCCUGGUGUGACUACCCAUCCCACCCCCUUCGAUACCUGUGCCUCAGUUUCUCCCAUGGAUAAUGGAGUGGGACUCAAUGGGAGUAACAGACUCCAAGAACAUGAAUGGGGGUGAGCAGGGACCACCAAACACGUCCUCUGCCCAUCUCAUGUCCGACCCACUCACCUCCCAAGUAACAGGCACAACUUCACCAAAUCUGUGGCCCCCCAACUGGGUGGAUAAGGCCAGGACUUGCUUCUGAUUUGCACAGCACAUCCCCCCAGCAUUGGAAUAAAAGCUGCUCAGGAUGGCCCUCGAGAUAAGGUUUUCAGAGCUCUAGGGAUCCAGACCCAAAACUGCGGGACCUCUGAGGAAGCACAGGUUCCUGCACUGAAGGCAGAGCACUGGCCAUCUAUUUUGACUCUAAAUAUUUGGAGGAAUUCUGCGAGCUGUUUUGUAAGCUGCACUGAGGUAAUGCUGUGUCAUGGAAACCAGUGCAGGCAAGAUUUCUAGGGAGAGGCAGUGUUUACCCUUGUUACAUGGACUAGAGGUCAGCAAAAGCAGAAGCCCCUCAAGAGCGUGCGCAGAGCUGCAGAGAGUGAAUCUUGGUCAUCGUUACAGAACUGUAGAGCUCCAAGAUGAUACCUUUUAUUUCUAAGGAUCCUGCAUGCAGUGUGAGAAGCUGGCUGACGUUGCUAGCUCCACUUCAAAGGUAAAGAAACUGAGUCAGGCAGAGAGAGCACCAGAUCUGUCUGAGCUCAGUGGAGGCGAACAAUCAGAGACUCGACUGAAUAACAGCCUCAGAAAAAGGAUGCAGUUUAGUCUUCCAGCUACGGGCUAAGGUGUCUUAUUUUUUCUAGAGUAAUAAAAAUCAGAAUUUUAAAGUAUAUUCCCUUACUUACCCUGGAGGGCUCAAGAACUCUUUCUUCUUGCUUUUUAUGACUCCGAUUUUACCUGUAGAAGUAAGUGGCACUAUAAAUCCCAAACAGCUUCCUACCUGCUGUUCUUCCCUAGUGAGGCUUGAAGUGAUUACUAGAUAUGGUUUCAGGCUCUGCAAAAUGAUAGGAAACUUAGGGAGUUUGCUUUCUUCUCAGAUUUACCAGGAAGAGAGGGUAAUUUAAAUGGCAUUUCAUUAUCUCAAAAGAGAUGACAAUAAAUAUAUUCUUCUGUUACUGAGAACAGACAAGUAAUUUCUAUUCUUGGAGAUCUUUCCAUGGGAAUUAGAGUAAAACUUCCAAGUUCAAACAUGUUGCCUUUCCUUAUUAGAAAAUCUUGUACUAAAUUGUCACUCUUUAAAACCAGUCACAGUUGAAACUCAUCUCUUCCUUAACAAUGGGUGGAGGUAGAGAGGAGAGGAAUUCAGAACCCUACAGACCCUAAUGCCCAUGAAACCCCCCUCAUGCUUGACCACUUUAGAGGCUGUCUCCCCACUACCAGAUGGGAAGAAACUGGUUGACAAUCUGCAAGUUGUCUUAAAGAGGACAGCACCUGCUCCAGGCCCCAAGUUAUUAAGAAGUACACGUUAAACCAGAAUCUCAUUACGGCUGUCAGAAUUAUAAUGAUUGACAGCUGGAAAAUCUUAUCAUGCAUUUCCGCAGGAUUGCAGCAAAGCUUUGAUUAGCAUUUAGGCAUUCACAUUUGCAGAAGCAGCAUUUUUAUUUGCUCUUAAAUAAUUUUUUAUAACACUCAGACCCAGCACUGAAAUGCUAUAGUGUACUGAUGAGGAGGCUGGUGCCACACAAAACCAAGAUGGGCUUUGUUUUGUUUCUCCUCAAUAUUAUCCUGGCUAGCAUGACCCUGGUUUCCCAUCUCUUGGAUAAAGAAGGAGCUGAACAGAAGUUAUUCAGCUUGUGAUUUGCGCCAGGAGAUGACACAGACUUGCUCUUGACCUCUAAAAAGCACUUCCAAAUUCUCAAGUGUAAUAGAAAUGAACAGCACAGAGGAUGGUUUUAAGAUAAAUAAAUCAAAGUGCCAUCUUAAUUUACAACCAAGAAGGGGCAUGUCUAUACAUUAGACUAAAUAAAACCCCAUGGUUACAAGAAAAUUAGCAUAUGGCCAGUAAAGGUAUUUUCAUAUAAUCUCGGCUUAAUAUUUAAAGUCAUUGGUAACUAAUGGUGAAAAAUGAGAUUUUUUUUCCCCAAAACUACUCCUACUGGCAGAGAAUAUGGUACUAUUGUAUCAUAAAGGCUAUGAGCUCCACUUAUUGCCAUAGUUUUUGGAAAUAGUAAUUGUGUUGGUUUUUAGCUAUUGCUUCCCAGAUCCAAAUCCACUAUUCCAUACUGUGCUUUAUGAUUCUGGCAUUGGGAUGCCAUAAAUGUCAUUUCUCCUUUUUCUAUGCUGCUAACUGAUAUAGAGAGUUUUAUUUUCCUGAUGCCUAUUGCAAAUAAAG
rnacentral:lncRNA from 1 species